rnacentral:rRNA from 1 species
CCUACGGGUGGCAGCAGUGAGGAAUAUUGGUCAAUGGACGCAAGUCUGAACCAGCCAUGCCGCGUGCAGGAAGACGGCUCUAUGAGUUGUACACUGCUUUUGUACGAGGGUAAACGCAGAUACGUGUAUCUGUCUGAAAGUAUCGUACGAAUAAGCAUCGGCUAACUCCGUGCCAGCAGCCGCGGUAAUACGGAGGAUUCAAGCGUUAUCCGGAUUUAUUGGGUUUAAAGGGUGCGUAGGCGGUCGGAUAAGUUAGAGGUGAAAUCCCGGGGCUCAACGUCGGAAGUGCCGCUGAUACUGUUCUGCUAGAGAGUAGGUGCGGUAGGCGGAAUGUAUGGUGUAGCGGUGAAAUGCUUAGAGAUCAUACAGAACACCGAUUGCGAAGGCAGCUUACCAAGCUACUUCUGACGUUGAGGCACGAAAGCGUGGGGAGCAAACAGGAUUAGAUACCCGUGUAGUC